UACGUAGGGUGCGAGCGUUAAUCGGAAUUACUGGGCGUAAAGCGUGCGCAGGCGGCGCGUUAAGACAGGUGUGAAAGCCCCGAGCUUAACUUGGGAAUUGCGCUUGUGACUGGCGUGCUGGAGUGUGGCAGAGGGAGGUGGAAUUCCACGUGUAGCAGUGAAAUGCGUAGAGAUGUGGAGGAACACCGAUGGCGAAGGCAGCCUCCUGGGCCAGCACUGACGCUCAUGCACGAAAGCGUGGGGAGCAAUCAGG
rnacentral:rRNA from 1 species